CUGCAAGGAGGCUACCUGCCCUGUUCACCAUAAGAAAAUGCCUUAUGGAUCUAUCACCAGUGGAGGUAACCUGAAGAGCUAUAGCCUUUUUUGAGGACCCUUAAGACAAGGCUUUCAACCUGUAGGGUUUCUCAAGUGCUCAGCAGCACCGGAAUGGCCUAGAGUGGAGCAGGGAUCACAGCUGUUGAUCAAGCUAUGCCUCCUGUCAGUGCAGCCCAGAGGGCAGUUGCUGAAGCAAGCGCAGCAGUGGUGGGAAGAUGCUGGAGCCAUUUCUUCAGGUCACCCUUGGGGAGGAGCGUCUUCAGCUGGACCACCUGAAAACCCAGCUCUUGAAUGCCAUUUGGUGGUGCACAGAAAAUUACAGAAAAGUCAGAGCACUGUUGACCAUGGCACAGAGGGGCAUUGAGCAUAUGGGUACAGAGUAUUUACCACAGUCAGUGGAUGUUAGGGGACAUCACAGAAUCCACUGCCAUUUGUGUUCCAGGGAGGGGCUUUAAGCUAAAUCCUUGAAGGCCAACCACAAAGGAGCUCUUGGAUCCCAAGUCUUAUAAUCAUCAGCAAUUUGCUUUUAUGGAGCCAGAAAAACCCAGAGCCUCGGGCCACACUCUGCUUGCUCUGCUUUCUGCAGUGAAGGUUCUGGUCCCAUGACUUCUGCUCACUCUGGGUGAAACUGGAACGUGGUAGACACCCAGGCCUUGCUGAACCAGCAGCUUCCCAUUCCAGGGGCAGGCAGAGAAGUGUUGACAUCUCCAGCAGAAUUGUGGAUCUCCCCCCUCAGUUCCUUCUGCUUCAGCUGCCCAUGUUUAAGGUUUGCUGCAAGGCAUGUACACCUGUGCCUGGACCGCUCUUCCAACAGACUGCCAUCUUUGAAGACCUGGGUGUCCUUGUGUUUCUAUGCAACUCUCAGCAUGACAGCCCCAUGGAGUCAGAGACCUGAAGCCCAGUGCCCUGGUAGAGACUUCCAAAGAGGAGGUGCCAUAUGAGGAAAUCCAGGCCUAAAUCAAGGACCAGAUGCCAACUAUGGCUAACUAUCCCCUAUGCUCAAGAUGAGGCCCCAGGACAGUUAUCACCUCUCACUCCCACUGUCCAUUCCCAUCACCUCUCAUCAGCCUCCUGCACCAGCCCUGCUUCCUGCUACUUGUCUUUGCACCUGCUGGGAACAUCUUCUAUGGUAUGCAUGGCAGCUGGGAAGUCCCACUGGAUGUCUUCCCUUUUUAUCCCACUCUGAACACUCGACACAGUACUUGGCCACUACACACAGAGACCCUCUGUCCUUUGGGGACAGCAGGCCCUUAAUCACAGAUAUGUCCUUGGCCCCCAGCAUGGCUGGCUCAAGGAGAAGAGGCCUCAUUUGUGAUGAAGUGUGCAUAAACAUUUGCCAUUCGAUCAGGGAUUAUCUGGGAGACUUCCAGACUCAGCCUCAUUUGCACAUUAUGCUACCUAUAUAUGCCCUAUUCCUUAGUACAUCAGAUAAGAUGACCCCUAAACCUGGCCUUUGUUGGCUGCCCUCUAAUAAGCGAGGAGACACCUGCUGUCACCACAAGACAGUUCUCCCUCUCCUCAGCCACCACACCUGUGAUUCAGUCUCCAAUUCCCACUUUGUCACCCAAGAGCUGCCCUUACCUGCCCCAACCAUCCCCCCAUGUGCUCCCCUCUGGCCAUUUGGCUGUUCUACUAGGAGGGAUCAUGCAAAUUAUCCCCUCUGCCUUCCUGCCUGGACACCAGGGUGAACAUCCAGGGUGGAAUCUGGAGCUACAUCAACCUCAACUAGCUGCAGAGAGUGGUGUCUGCUGGGAGCAAGAAGGAAGACAUGGCUCUUGAGUUCCAAGCAUCAUUUCCUUAAUGGAGAAGAUCUGCCAGGGGCUAAGGGGCUAAAGACAGCACUGAUCACUCAUGACAUCCUAUCUCUCCACAAGUCAGCCCAUGCUCCUGGUUCCUUGUCAUUUCAGGGCCUUGUUCAGGAUAGGCAAGCACUAUGCCCAACCUACAUCUGCAAAGACAAUACUGGAAGCCACAGGAAGAGUGUGUGAGAAUAGAGAUUCUCUCAGAACAAGGAUAAGCCCCACUGUGGGGUCUGCAGGGACCUGAACACCCCUCCUGGAAGGAGCCACCUCUGUCUGGGCUUUGGACAGCCUUGCUUGCCCUCCUGAACUGUAAACACCUCCUCUGGGUAUGAUAGAACCAGUCACCACCCCAGAGGCCCCUACAGCAAUUGAGCUGUGCAAUUGCCAGCCCUUGCAAGCUCUUUAGCGACUGCAAUUGAUUCCCAGGCUGGGGUCUAAUUGCUGGCCUGUUGCUGUGAUCUCAGUAAAGGCUGCCACCAUAGGGGAGCCAGAGUGCACACUUGCCGCCUUCCCAGAUAAAAUGAAGGAGGUUUUCUCUUUCCUCCUUUGAAUGGUCGACUUGCAGGAAACCAGCAAUUAUGCAUCAAAGCACGGCGUUUAUGCCACAGGGACUGGUGGUAGAGGACUUACUCAUGAGCCCAGUCUCUAAGAAUUUUGUUGCAAGAGCCUGGGGUCGUUUGCCCACCCCUUUCCAGUGCUGGAGAACAAGAGCACUUGCUUGGAAGCAAAGCACCUGAGGAGCUGGCCCUGGCCAACAGCCUAGGAAUCUGAUGAAAAGACCUGCAGGUAUUUCCCACCAGCCUCCCAUGCCACUCUCCCAGAUAAGGCUUUGCCUUGGAACUCUCAAGGGACAGCCCAACCCCAGGGAGAUGAGGAGCCCUGAGAGAGGCUCACUAGCUGGGAACCAUGGCAGACAACAAGAGGAUAAAGAGGACAAGAUUCAGACCUGUGGGCAUUGUGCAGCCCCUUCCCCUGGCCAUAGUGGACUAGGUCAUAAACCAACCUCUCCUUCUGGCACAAAUGUCACCUCUUAGUACCAUCAGAGAAAGCAGCACCUUGCCAGAAUCUCCCCAAUUAAUGACUAUUUAAGUUUGGAUUUAAAAAUCUCCCAAAGUCUCACAUUUGGAGGUAGGGCAUGGUUGGAGAGGAUGGGUCCUCAGGGACUCUGGAAGGGUUUAUUCCUCUCCCUGACCCCUCCCUUCCUUCCCUCUCUGCUUCUUGGCUGCAGUGAUUUGAGUAGCUUCUCUCUGCCACACCCCUCUGCCAUGCUGUUUCUCCCUUGGAGUGGGCUGA